UACGAAGGGUGCAAGCGUUACUCGGAAUUACUGGGCGUAAAGCGUGCGUAGGUGGUUUGUUAAGUCUGUUGUGAAAGCCCCGGGCUCAACCUGGGAAUGGCAAUGGAUACUGGCAAGCUAGAGUGCGGUAGAGGGUAGUGGAAUUCCCGGUGUAGAGGUGAAAUUCGUAGAUAUUGGGAAGAACACCGGUGGCGAAGGCGGCUAUCUGGACCGACAUUGACGCUGAGGCGCGAAAGCGUGGGGAGCAAACAGG
rnacentral:rRNA from 1 species